GCGUUAGCGGUUCAGCGGUAGAAUUCUUGCCUUCCAGGCAGGAGACCUGGGUUUGAUUCCCGGCCAAUGCA
rnacentral:tRNA from 1 species